GACAGAGGGUGCAAACGUUGUUCGGAAUUACUGGGCGUAAAGCGCACGUAGGCGGAUCGAUCAGUCAGGGGUGAAAUCCCAGGGCUCAACCCUGGAACUGCCUUUGAUACUGUCGAUCUGGAGUAUGGAAGAGGUGAGUGGAAUUCCGAGUGUAGAGGUGAAAUUCGUAGAUAUUCGGAGGAACACCAGUGGCGAAGGCGGCUCACUGGUCCAUUACUGACGCUGAGGUGCGAAAGCGUGGGGAGCAAACAGG
rnacentral:rRNA from 1 species